rnacentral:rRNA from 1 species
GGGGAAUCUUCCGCAAUGGGCGAAAGCCUGACGGAGCAACGCCGCGUGAGUGAAGACGGCCUUCGGGUUGUAAAGCUCUGUUAUACGGGACGAAUAGUCUUAUGGUUAAUACCCAUAAGAAGUGACGGUACCGUAAGAGAAAGCCACGGCUAACUACGUGCCAGCAGCCGCGGUAAUACGUAGGUGGCAAGCGUUGUCCGGAAUUAUUGGGCGUAAAGGGCGCGCAGGCGGCUUCUUAAGUCUGUCUUAAAAGUGCGGGGCUUAACCCCGUGAUGGGAUGGAAACUGGGAAGCUCAGAGUAUCGGAGAGGAAAGCGGAAUUCCUAGUGUAGCGGUGAAAUGCGUAGAUAUUAGGAGGAACACCAGUGGCGAAAGCGGCUUUCUGGACGAAAACUGACGCUGAGGCGCGAAAGCCAGGGGAGCGAACGGGAUUAGAUACCCCGGUAGUCCUGGCCGUAAACGAUGGGUACUAGGUGUAGGAGGUAUCGACCCCUUCUGUGCCGGAGUUAACGCAAUAAGUACCCCGCCUGGGGAGUACGGCCGCAAGGUUG